AGAAAGAAGAGGGGAAGCAGGUGAGCAGCAAACUUGGGAAUGAAUUCCAGGGAAGAAUCAAAGAGCAGGCUGCAUGAAAAAGGGGACAGGAAAAGAUCCCAAGAGUUAAAUGUUAGGAGUAAGAUGGGCUGGAGUGUACCUGCAAUACUAAGCUGUUAGUGAAAUGGGUGGGAGUUGUGGGUGCUGAUGUUGUUUACUUUGUACCAUUCCAUAACCAUGAGAUGAAUAAAAAAGCCCUCUUGCAAAGGAAGCAACUGAGAAUAAGAAAAAACAGCCUGAGCAAUACUUGCCGAGGGAAGCACUGAGAGAAAGCAUCUGCCUGCCUUCUGAGUGACACGAGCAGGGAAAAGGGGGGGGAGGAGAAGGCCAAGCGGGUGGACCCGGUGAGCCAAUAGCAGGGGAAAUGAAUUGCUCCUGUGAUUAACUGACGUUGCAUCAGGAUGAGCCAUUAGAAUCCAUCAGCAUGUUUGUGUGAAGGCUCAGCACUUUACUUCCCAAUCCAGCCGGGAGGAGGCUGUAACAGGCCUUUGGAUGAGGAAGGUGAGUGGGCUGUAAUUAAUACACAGACUGCAGCGUUUAUCUUCUGGAGGCAGAAGACCCUUUUUUUUCCAAGUAAGUUUUCUGCAGGUCUUUAACUUGGGGAAAAUGUUUGCCCUUACACUUGGAUUCCAACCCCCCACCCCCAUCAUAUAUAUAUAUUUUUUAUUUUUGUGUAGGCUUGAGUGAAAUGUUGCACUUGACUGGAGUGAUGAUAAGAGAAUUCUUGAAAAUCCUUUCUGUUUUCCAGUGUACGGUUAGAAGUGCUGAAAGCCAAACUUGGAAAGAGUUUUGGCUGAAGAAUAUGAGAGAUGCAGACUAGAACUUAAUAAAGCCGUUGUGUUAGGAAUGCAAUUCAGCAAGGAUCUGUCUCCAGAGUCACGCAGAAUAAUCACGAAGCCAACUUAGCAAGCAAAUAGGGCAGGGAGAGCUGCUUAAUGGAUCUCUUUCAUGGACAACAUGUGGAGAAGGCCUGAAAAGAGGAAUGCCAGUCAGCACGAGCACAAAACAUCAUUCUUUAAAUUCUCUUCAAACUCUUCCUGAAACUUUUUAAAGCUGUUGCCCAGUUCGUUGCUGGAUGAAGGUGAGAACAGGAGUAGGAGUGCUAACGUAGCGAAACAAGCUCAGUUCUGGAAGCCCUGUCGGCCAACAAGCCCCAUGCUGUGCAAAAGGAGACAUCUGCUAGUAGUGUUCUCGAGAAGGGAGCACAGAUGAAGACAGGGUUGCAAAGAGAUGCUCUUCGAUUUUAACCCUUCAGGAACACUUUGAAGUCUUGCUUUCCUGUAGCUGCACAUUGCAUUAUAAACCGUGUGCCAUCAACUAAGACAUUUAAGCAAAAUUUCCAGAUGUGAAGUACUGAGCAAGUCUUUUUUUGUUGUGCUCAAACCAGGUCUUUGGUUGUCAAGAGUCUCCUCACAGCAAUAUCAUGUUUGCAGUGGCCUAGUCUUCUCAAAGUAGUGAUGACUGGUGAGGGGUGGCUAAGCAGCACCUCAGGGAGUUUGCUGCAGCCCUUUCAAAAGAUUUACAGGCCUUUUUAGUUCGACUUUGAAAACCUCAGCAUUUACUGGGCAACAGAAGGAGCUCUCCGGAUUCACUGGAGUUUUCUCCCGUGGUAGAUAGAUUUCGACUUCCUCAGGCUGCGCAGUCUCAAGCUGCUUGGUGAUUCUGUGGGUUCAAGUCCAGGGACAGACCCCUUGGAUGGAAGAAAGAAUUUGUACAAUGUUCUCUGUGAAUUAUUACUUUAAAAUCACCUGCUUCUAUCGUAGCCUAAUUAGAACUGUUCUAAACAGUGGAGUAAAUAAGGCAAAAAGUGCGUGGUUGCACACCAAGCAGUAAACUUCCUGAUUUUAAAGGUGGCCUUUAAAGCCAAGCGCUGCGGUUUGGUAUUUGUUGCAGCUUAUUUUUGUGUCCUUUUGCUAUCCCUCAGGCUAAAUCUUCACAGAAUGCUGCUUUUUGCUGUGUGAGGGGGUUGUACGUGAUUCAUUCCUUUACGCGUUUCCUCUUGUGGCUGAAAUGUGUUAUCUUUUAUUCCUUCUCCACUCCUACCACCACCGAUACUUCUGCCCCUGCUCACCUCAGAAAAGACAACUAUAUCGUGAAGGUCUGAACCUUGUCUUUUUGGGGACACCGCGCACGCAUCCUUGCUGGUAUGGCAUACGUAAUACGCAUAUGGUGAGCUUUGAAACCCUUCCAUAAAACCUGUGACUUCUUGCUAAGAUCAGAAGCCUUCCAUUGGAACAAUAAAUCCGAGUUAGAACUUGAAGAAUAAAAUGUCAUUAUUCGAGUCACCUCUUUGCUGUUUUCUUAGUUGCAGGAUCACUCCGUUUCUUAAAGUUUCCAUUAUAUUUUUUGCUUUUUCCCCCCUGGUAUCCCGUAACACUAAAUUGUGAGCUCUUGUGAUAGAGCUAGAGAAGGCGUGGGGUUUAUUUUCAGUGUGUGUAACUACUCGGCCAAGUAGGGAGGCCAACGUAUGUGAACGCUUUACAGAAAACAAAACCGAAAACUCACCUUGUGCAUAGAGGUGAGAUGAAAAUACCCACUUUUAGACCGAAAUUGCAUUGCGGCUUGAAAUACUAUACUUCAGUAAUAUUACUGAAGAAAAUAAAAACAUGUUUGUCUACCCAG